AUGUAUUUACUUCUUAGUGUUACUGUGAAAUCAAAUUAUAUAAUGCAGCAUUGAAUUUGUAUUUUGAAAUGAUAGUUGAAAGUGUACAGAAUGUAUUGAAUGCUUUUAAUUGAAGAGUUUGCACAAAGGCAACUCUUGCUGAGCAGAUGUAACACGAUGUGUACUUUAGCUGAUGUUAUAGGUGAGGCACAUGAUUAAGAAAGGAUUUAAUGGAUAUACUAGUAAAGUUUGGUUGGGGGAUUAAUGAAUGUAGUUGAAGUAUUGAAUAUGGGAAGGCACAUAAGUUUGGUUGAAGGAUUCAUCUUGUUAAUCAAACUGCUUCUUCUUUCUUUGCAGAGAAGAAUCAAGAAUAUCUUCUACAUGCAUUCUACCCCUCUCUUUCUAUCUCUUUUUCUAUCUCUCUUUCUCUCUAUAUAUAUGCACACUGAGAUUGCUUCAGCUACUAAUUAUCAAGAUCAAGACCCAAUUUCAUAAAACCAGCCCAUAUCUCAAUUUUGUAACUAUAACUUCUAACUCAACAUCAUCAAUUUCUGUGAGAAAACAGCCACAAUUGUUGUAUCUUAGAUAGUCACAAAUCUAACAUGACGAAGAGAAAGAGAAGGAAGAAGAAGAAGAAGAAACAAAAUGGUUGUUGAAUCUUGAUUUGGUAUGAGCGGAAUCGGAAAUACUACCAGCUAAUCCAGAUUUAUCAACUCCAAGGGGUAGUCAUCUCCAAGACUACAAGGAAAAGAUGGAUCAGAUUUAAAGCAGAUACCGAGCAGCUCUUUACUCUUGGAAAGAGAGACCAGCGAAUCUUCGGAAUUGCGCAUCAGUUGCUCAGCUACAAAUCCUUCAAGUUGGUGUGCUGAAGAUCAGAAGCUACUCCAAAUUCAAGCUGGUUCUGGUGAUCAGCAGCUACUCCAAAGUCCAAAUUGCAGAAAAAGCUGCUCCAAACAAUGAGUAGUAGUCGUAUGUACAAGGUAGUGGCCAGUGCAGAAAUCAGUAUCUGUAAUUUUGUGAAUCCCUAAUACUACUAGUUGGAAUCACUAUCUGUAAUUUUGUGAAUUUUGUCCAUAAUCCGUGUUUAAACGAGCUUAGAUCACUGAAUGAAACUUGUUCGGAUUUAGUUUUCCA